rnacentral:rRNA from 1 species
UACAGGGGGGGCAAGCGUUGUUCGGAAUUACUGGGCGUAAAGGGCUCGUAGGUGGCCAACUAAGUCAGACGUGAAAUCCCUCAGCUUAACUGGGGAACUACGUCUGAUACUGGAUGGCUUGAGUUUGGGAGAGGGAUGCGGAAUUCCAGGUGUAGCGGUGAAAUGCGUAGAUAUCUGGAGGAACACCGGUGGCGAAGGCGGCAUCCUGGACCAACACUGACACUGAGGAGCGAAAGCCAGGGAGCAAACGGG